UUUUUCAAUUUUUAAUACAGGAAGGGAUAUUUUUCAUUAUAUUUAUAUGCUACACCAUGGAGCCAAUAUCAGUAGGGAAAAAAUGAGCUGUGGAUAUUAAGAACAUUGAAUUCAUUAACAAAUAAUAUGGAAAAUUUUGAUAAAUCAAAUGGGCUUCUCAGUAGAAAUAUUCUCCCAAUCUAGCUAAAAAUAUUCCAACAAGUCAUUUUAAAUUGUAUACCUGUUGUGUUGUCAUUUUUCUAAAGUGAUGGUAAGGUGAUUUAAUUUAUUUAACUUGAGCAUAUUUUAAUUUACUGUCCACUGUAUCAAAUAAUGAUCAACAUAAAGUGGGUAGCAAAGAGGCUCACCAUCAUAGGCAUACAAAAACAUGGGGUUUGAAAGGAAACAAAAACACUACCUCGAAAAGAUACAUGCACCCUCAUGUCUACAGCAACAUUAUUUACAAUAGCCAAGAAAAUGGAAACAACUUAAGUGUCCAUUGAUGGAUGAAUGGAUAAAGAAGUUUUGGUAUAUAUAUACAGUGGAAUACUAUUCACCCAUAAAAAAAACAAGGAAAUCCUACUAUUUGUGACAACCUGGAUGGACCUUGAGGGCAUCAUGCUAAGUGAAAUAAAUUAGACAGGGAAAGACAGGUAUUGGAUGAUCUCACUUAUACGCGGAAUCUAAAAGACCAAACCAAACCAAACCAAACCAAACUCAUAGAAAAAGAGAUCAGACUCAUGAUUACCAGAGGCAGAGUGUAGGGGGAGGGGGAAGUGGAGGAAGGUGAUCAAAGAAUACAAAGUUCCAGUUAUAAGACAAAUAAGUCCUUCAUAUGUAAUGUACAUCAUGAUGACUAUAGCUAACACUGCUGUAUUAUAUACAAGAAAGUUGUUAAUGAAUCCUGAGUUCUCAUCACGAGGAAAAAAAAUUUGUCCUUUUCUACAUUUUAUUUAUUUAAUUUUUUUUAGGAAAAUGAGCCCUGGGCUAACAUCUGUGCCCAUCUUCCUCUAUUUUAUAUGUGGGACACCUGCCACAGCAUGGCUUGACAAGCAGUUUGUAGGUCCAUGCCCGGGAUCCGAAGCAGUGAAUCCCAGCCCACCGAAGCAGAGCACGCAAACGUAAUUGCUACGCCACAGGGCUGGCAACUUUCUUUUCAUUUUAUUGUAUCUAUAUGAGAAGAUGAGCGUUAGCUGAAUCCAUUGUGGUAAUCAUUUCACAAUAUAUGUAAAUCAAACCAUCAUGCUAUAUGCUUAACUUAUACAGUGAUGUAUGUCAAUAAUUUCUCAAUAAAAGUGGAAAAAACAAACAAAAAACAUGGGUUUGCUCAUCUCACCCUCUUUCAUCAGUGGUGAUCAGUAGAGAUGGCCUGGAAAAAUUCUGCUUGGUGUGACGACUCUAAAAAUAUGAAUAUAAAAAGAAUUCCAAAAGAAUUUAAGAUGUGAAUUCACAACACUCUAAUGGCGAAUUUGAUCUGACUUCGAAAAUAAGUUAUAUAAAAGGGCCAACAUGCUCUCUCAAUCCCCUAAAAGAAGCUGCUUAAAUAGUAAGAGUAAGUUGUGUAACUGGUGGGAUGUUUGGUCCAUACAUACUGUAUGGUCCACUGAACUCUGGUGGAAACUAAAAAUUGCUAAGCAAGGAAUGAAAAACCUUCUUUGACAUGUACCUCUCAGAAAAACAUGAAAACUGGGUUUUCCAUAAACCUGGCUGGUUACAAAAUACAUUAGCAGUGAAAAUGGUCAUUGAAGAAAGCUCUACAGAUCUAUUUCUACAAUUAUGAACAAUAGCUCAACAAAUUCAACUAGCUUGAAUAGUGAGAAUAAAAAGCUUAAAAUGAAAGGUAACAUACAGUAUGCAAACAUAUACAAAAGUGGGAAAUCCUUGAACAUCAAAUGACAGCUCUCUCCCAGUUCUAAUAGCACCCAUCUACCUGAGAUCUGGGUUACAGAUAGGUAAUACACGCUCACUCUCCUGAAAUGUACCUGCUGAAGCAGGGCAAAGACAGGAAGCGCUUCAGGGCUCUAGGUCAAGGUCAAGAAUACAAGCCAUGAGUUCACUAAUGCUAAAGAUGAAUGAAUAGCAAAGAGAUGAGAUGGUCUCUAUUCCUUUGUACUGAAGCUCAUAAGAGGCUUGCAAUUGCCUUACAAAAUACGUUUGCUCUCUAUCCUUUGUAUUCUGUUUGUUUCCAUCCAUUAUACGGCUAAAUCUACUACACCUCAAAUAAGAGCAAAUCAUUUGUAAUUUAAUAGUGACACAAAUCCUCUGGAACUCAUACACCAUUGACAUUGACAUAGAAUACUGGCCUUGAAUUUAUAAAAUAUUGACUCAUUUUUAUUGUUCUCUGCAUUUUUCCUAGGUAUGAAAUGAUCAGAAUGAGUUUUCCAUAGGCUAUUUUUUUUUGUUUUGCCCAAGUGUCCUCAAAAACCAUUACCUAGACAGACUCUUCUACUCAAACUUUGACUAAACCAACCAAAUUGAAAGAAUCAGUUGAAUGCUAGAUAACCAGAGGAUACCUCCUUUUUAAAUACAUCCUGGAAAAGCUUUGCAGCAAUAUUUCUCUAAAUUAAAAAAAAAAUACACAUAAGCGGUCCUAACAACUAACCAUACCAUUGCAAACAGAGUACAGAGUUCCAGAAAGAAACAAAACGAGGUCCAAGCGAGUAGCAUUUAUGGAUUUUCCUUCCUCUUCUUCACUCCCCAUUGCUAAUAUUUAGACACAUGCUUCUGGGAGAACAGAGAAGUUCGCUUUCCUGUUGAAUGGUUUAGUUGUUUAUCAUCAUUUGAGCCCACC
rnacentral:lncRNA from 1 species